rnacentral:rRNA from 1 species
AUUGAACGCUGGCGGCCGGCCUAACACAUGCAAGUCGAGCGGAGCGGCGGACGGGUGAGUAAUGCCUAUGAAUCUGCAUGUUCGUGGGGGAUAACGUCCGGAAACGGGCGCUAAUACCGCAUACUAUCAGAUUAGCCUGGGUCGGGUUAGCUAGUUGGUGGGGUAAAGGCCUACCAAGGCGACGAUCCCUAACUGGUCUGAGAGGAUGAUCAGGCAAACUGGAACUGAGACACGGUCCAGACUCCUACGGGAGGCAGCAGUGGGGAAUAUGGAACAAUGGGCGAAAGCCUGAUACAGCCAUGCCGCGUGUGUGAAGAAGGUCUUCGGAUUGUAAAGCACUUUAAGUUGGGAGGCGUUACCCACAGAAUAAGCACCGGCUAACUUCGUGCCAGCAGCCGCGGUAAUAC